rnacentral:lncRNA from 12 species
GAAAUCUUCAUCCACUUAACAGUUCCCCCACUCUUGUGCUGUAUCUCAUGCACUAAACAACCACAAUCUAGUUUAACCAGAUGCUAGAUGCACAGAUAUAGCACUGCAGUCUGGUGAUGUGCUGUUAGCGCUGACCCUCAGUAUGGCUUCUUACUCUGACAGCCAGGGGCCGUGAGGGGCCGUUAAGGGCCAUGUGGGCCCGGCUGCAGCUGCUCCACUCUCCUUGCCCACUCAGCAGGCACACUGUGGCCUUUGAGCCCACCUGCCAUUCAAUCCAGCACAGAUGUGCCCUCAGCUGUUCUUGGUGCCAUUACUGCUCCCUGCACUUUUUAUCCUGCACCUCGGAGACCCCAAACUGCCAAACGAGGUGAAUUAUGGCCAGUUAUAUGGAGUGGACUCUGAGCCACGGGGGACAGGACAUAGUCAGAAGAACUAACCACAGUUCUGACCAUUAAAAGCCAGCCUGACACUGGCCCUUCAUCUUACCUCCUCCACGAGACGAGUGCUCCCAACCUUUGCUUCCCAUGAGAAGAGACAGAACCGAGAGAAGAGAGCCCCCUCAGCCCAGGCACGCUUCCCCCCCAUCAUUAUGAGUUAAGCAUCUCACCUCUACCUUUCUUUCUAAGAGACUCCCUCUCUUUCUUUCUCUCUUCCUCUCUCUUUAUUAUAGUGUGGCUUUUUGGCUUUGUGUUAUCUGUUUUCUUUUUGUUGCUCUUUUUUUUCUGUCUCUGCCUGUCCUUCUUUAUUUUUCUCCACAAGGUUAAUUGCAUUAGCUAAAAGAAGCCUGGCCUGUUGGUUGCUUAUGGAGGUCGCCGUUAGGCAUAUGACCCUCACAAAUCUGCUCUGGCCACCUAACACCACAGCUGAGAUAAUAGGGCUGCUGAUGAGGCUUCAAUUGGUGUCCUGGUCUGUUGGGUAUCCCAAAAUAACAGUGAAGCAGUGAUUUAGAGGUAUGAUGUUAUUCCUGUUAUGCCUGCUUGCGAGCAGGACUGCUGUGAUCUCUAAAGCGCUAGUAUAAUUGAACAUCCCCAGUGACCAAAAAAAAAAAAAAAAAAAAAAAAAAAAAAAAAAAAAAAAAAAAAAAAAAAAAAAAAAAAAAAAAAAAAAAAAAAAAAAAAAAAAAAAAAAAAAAAAAAAAAAAAAAAAAAAAAAAAAAAAAAAAAAAAAAAAAAAAAAAAAAAAAAAAAAAAAAAAAAAAAAAAAAAAAAAAAAAAAAAAAAAAAAAAAAAAAAAAAAAAAAAAAAAAAAAAAAAAAAAAAAAAAAAAAAAAAAAAAAAAAAAAAAAAAAAAAAAAAAAAAAAAAAAAAAAAAAAAAAAAAAAAAAAAAAAAAAAAAAAAAAAUUUGACAUCAGGGACAGGGUAAUAUAACAGUAUUCAACAUUUAAUUGAUGUAAAUUAAUUGAUUUAAUUGAAUAUACAUCUUUUUUAUUAAAAUAUAUAAAGAAUUUACCUAUUUUUUAAUUAAAUAACAUAAUAAACUAAAAUUCAUAUAAAACAUGUACAAGUAACUACAAAGAUUUAAAUAAUAAUAAUAAUAAUAAUAAUAAUAAUAAUAAUAAUAACACAUAAAAAAAAGAUUUAAAAAAGAUUAAAAAAAGACAUUAACAAGAUUUCAAAUAAAUAUUUAUAGUAUUUUACAAUAUAUGGACCUUUUAAAUUUUCCACGGUCUUAAGUGACCUAAUGUUGCUAGAUUUGUGAUUCAUCUUACAUCUUUAUGCCAGUAUGUAGUGCUAAGUGACUGUCUUCAUGAUUGAGUCCUUCAGUGAUUUAUUCACUCAGCUGAUUCUUUCAAACAUUGAUUCAUUCAAACAUUGAUUCAUUCACAAUUGAAACCAGUGACGUGCUUUGCGAGUGAGUCUUUGUAUCAUUCACUCAACCGAUUCAGUCACAUACACUGAUUGACCCGGGAACCAAACACCACUGCUGUGUGAUGCUUGGAGACGCCUUGGCUAGGUACAAAACAUACUGUACCCUAACCCUAACUGAAAUAUUGCAUCAAACAUGUAAGUUACUCUAUAUCAAUGUUUUAUUUAGUUGUUGUAUGUGGUAUUAUAAUAUUGGCUCGUGUGAUAUUGUACAAUUGAUAUUUUCAGCAUGACAUAGCAAUCCUUAUUUAAUACGAAUCUCAUCAACUUAAUUUUCUCCGGUUACUCUGGUAUUGUUAAAAAAAUGCCUCUUUAAUAAUGCCAUCAGUGUAAUCUGUAACUUGCUAGUUUGUAUCCAUGUGUUUGUAGUGGGGCAGUUAGUUUUAGUCUUUAGUCGGCUCUAACUGAGGUCAGUGAGGGAGGGAGUGUAUGGGCUCU